GGUGACUCAGUGAUAGAGUGCUUGCCUUGCAUGCAUGAAGCCCUGGGUUUGAUUCCUCAGCACCA
rnacentral:tRNA from 1 species